rnacentral:tRNA from 1 species
CGGGGUAUGGCGUAAUUGGCAUCGUGUUUGCCUUGGGAGCAAAAGGUUGCUGGUUCGAGUCCGGCUACCCCGAUCA